GACGGGCGGCGCCGGCUGACGGGCCGCAACGCGAGGGGAGGUCCGGCGGCCCGGGGCGCCCUGCGACUGCCCGAGGCCGGAGGCCCGGAGGACCCGCCGCCGCCUUUGUGUCGCCGGCCCCCGCCCCGCUGGACUGGCCCGGGCCGGGGCGGUUGGGCCGGCGCUGAAGGGGCUUGGCCGCCCGGGUCCACCCGUUCCCGGAUCCGCCUCGCCGGCCCCCGCGCCCGCCCAACCCCUGCCCAGCCCCUCGGCUCCGCGAGUUUGGGUGAGAAGUGCGGCGGCUUUUCCCAGGGAUGGAGUUUAGAGGACGCUAAUCCUAUGUGUGAGCGGCGGACCCCGCCCGGACUUCCCGGAGGCGCCCGGUUAGUGAGGCGACGGCGCCCACCCGCGUUCGCGGGCUCCCGGCCGCCACUCCCCGGAGCCGCCGGCCCGCCCCAGCCCCGCGCGUCGCCCGGGAGGGCGGGCUGCACUCCCUCCACGUACCUGGCUGGCAGAGCGUCUCCAGGGACAAAAGGUGCCCUGGGAUCAAAGCCGAGCCCCCGCCCCCGCGGGGAUGCUGCCCUCCGGAAGGAGGGGCGCUGCCCCCAAGGUACUCUCCCCGGGCACCCAGGGGGAGGUUCCAUUUCAACCUCCGAUGAAAAACACGGCCCUCCCGGGUACUUAGGAGGGUCUGAGGGUAAGUGCCAAGAUGGAGAAAACACGCCGGCCCCUCACAGAGUAUCUCCUGAGGAAUGAGAACUAUCUAGCGGGCAAGGAGGGCUUCCUGCAUAGCAGAGGGCACCCCCUCUGAUCCCCCAAGGCCAAGGGAAAAAAAUCACUCUUCACCGGCGCCCCUGAGCCAGGACAGGCUCCAGUGCAGCCACCCACCUUAUAAUUUUCCGCGGAUGCUGCCUUGAUCAGAUGUCUGAAGAUGACUUUAAGGACUACAAGCAAAUCUCAAGGGAAAAAUUCAGACCUUGAACAACAGCCUUGAACUUUUUCAGGGUUAGACAAGUACUCCCCAGUGGAGUUUCUGCCCUUAUUUCUUCGUUCUUCUCUUAAUUCUUCCAUAUUUUAACAGAACACAGACCUGCCGAAACGACACAGGAUGGCUCUUUGCUUUUUGUUAGUUCUCCAACCUUCCAAACCCUUGGGGCACAUGCAAGCACUGUGGAAAAACUUCAUUAAACCAAGAGUCAUCUUACUCCAGAUCCCAGACUGCUUGGGAAGUUGGACAUGCAUAUUCCCAAAGAGAACAGUGUUGGAAGAAGACAGGAGAGCAGCUCGCGGGUUGGGGGUAGAGGGUAGGAAAAGAGGGCAAGAUGGAGGACUACCACUCGAGGCCAGCCUCCACUGCCUGUUAGGGCGGUAGAACCUAAGAGCCGGUCCAAGGCAACACAAAAGACAGUGAGGCUAGGUCUUUAAUUGCAGCCAACGAUCAAGAAAGCAACUCCAUCAAAUGACACUGUCUUUUUAAAAAAAAUUUUUUUUUUUUGAGACAGAGUCUCGCUCUGUCGCCCAGGCUGGAGUGCAGUGGUGCGAUCUUGGCUCACUGCAACCUCUGCCACCCGGGUUCAAGCAGUUCUCCCUGCCUCAGCCUCCUGAGUAGCCGGGAUUACAGGCACGCGCUACCAGGCCCGGCUAAUUUUUUUUUUUUUUCUUUUUUGGUAGAAUCGAGGUUUUGCCAUGUUGGCCACGUUGGUCUCGAAUUCCUGACCUCAGUUGAUCCGCCCAUCUCAGCCUCCCAAAGUGCUGGGAUUUCAAGCGUUAGCCACCGCACUCGACCAAAUGACACUGUCUUAAAUGAUUUAAUGUCUUAAAUCGGGAAAGGAGAGUAAGAGAAAGCACUCAAUGGAGUCAGAGGUGUCUUGCAGCCUAGCUCUUUCCACAGACAAGCCACAUGGGCCUAUCAUCUAACCUUUUCAAACUUCUCCAACUGCUUCUGUGAUGGAGGGAUUUGGGCUAGAGGAUCUUUUUAUUUUAUUUUAUUUUAUUUUAUUUUGGUGACAGAGUCUCACACUGUCGCCCGGGCUGAAGUGCAGUGGCACAAUCUCAGCUUGCUGCAACCUCUUUCUCCUGGGUUCAUGCGAUUCUCCCGCCUCAGCCUCCCAACUAGCUGGGAUUACAGGCGCACACCACCACACCUGGCUUAUUUUUUGUGUUUUUAGUAGAGACGGAGUUUCACUAUGUUGGCCAGACUGGUCUCGAACUCCUGACCUCGUGAUCCGCCCACCUCGGCCUCCCAAAGUGCUGUGAUUACAGGCAUGAGCCACCGCGCCUGGCCGAUGAUCCCAUUUUUCAAAGUAGGCUGGGUGCGGUAGCUCACGCCUGUAAUCCCAGCACUCUGGGAGGCUAAGGCGGGUGGAUCACUUGAGGCCAGCAGUUCGAGACCAGCCUGGCCAACAUGGUGAAACCCCGUGUCUACUAAAAAUACAAAAAUUAGCUCGGCAUAGUGGUACGUACCUGUACUUUCAGCUACUUGGGAGGUUGAGACAGGAGAAUUUUGCUUGAACCCAGGAGGCGGAGGUUGCAGUGAGCCAAGAUGGCACCACUGCACUCCAUUCUGGGUGACAGAGUGAGACCCUGUCUCAAAAAUAAUGAUAAUAAAAUAAAAGUAAUUAUUUAAGGCUGGGAGCGGUGGCUCACGCCUGUAAUCACAGCAUUUUGGGAGGCCGAGGCGGUGGAUCAUGAGGUCAGGAGGUCGAGACCAUCCUGUCUUAACACGGUGAAACCCUGUCUCUACUAAAAAUACAAAAAAAUUAGCCAGGCGUGGUGGCGGGCGCCUGUAGUCCCAGCUACUCGGGAGGCUAAGGCAGGAGAAUCGCUUGAACCCAGGAGGCGGAGGUUGCAGUGAGCCGAGAUCACACCACUGCACUCCAGCCUGGGUGACAGAGCGAGACUCCGUCUCAAAAAAAAUAAUUAUUAUUUAAAAUAAUCAUUGGGCCUGGCGCGGUGGCUCACACCUGUAAUCCUAGCACUUUGGGAGGCCAAGGCGGGUGGAUCACGAGGUCAGGAGAUUGAGAUCCAGCCUGGCCAACAUGGUGAAACCCCAUCUCUGCUAAAAAUAUUUUUUAAAUUAGCUGAGCGUGGUGGUGGGCACCUGUAAUCCCAGCUAGUCGGGAGACUGAGGCAGGAGAAUCGCUUGAACCUGGGAGUCGAAGGUUGCAGUGAGCCGAGGUCGUGCCACUGCAGUCCACCUGGCCAACACAGCAGGCCUCUCUCUAAAAUAAUAAUUAUUAUUAUUGUUAUUCUUGACAGGCCAGUGUAGAACAGGUGGGGCAUCUGUGGUAUGACAGAACUGGGUUCCAAUUCUGUCCCUUCACCUGUCCCAGGUUCCUCAUCUGAAAACUGUGACCCAGUAAACCUAAUUUCAUGAGCAGCUUUCAUUAAAAUUGAAAUAAUGUUGGAAAAUGCCUUGUAACCGUGCUUGAUAUAGAGUAGUUACUUAGCCAGUUAUUUCCUCUCUUCUUCCAAUUCCUAACAAAAUGGAAAAACGUUUGGUUGCUAGGAAAGAGCUCUAAGGGGAUUUUGUUGUUGUUUGAGACAAAGUUUGGCUCUAUCGCCCAGGAUGGAGUGCAAUGGCACAAUCUCUGCUCACUGCAACCUCCGCCAUAGACAGGAGCCAAGCAUAGUGGCGUGCACCUGUCUGUAGUUCCAGCCUCUUAGGAGGCUGAGGCAGGAGGGUUGCUUGAGGCCAGGAGUUUGAGUCUAGCUUGGGCAAUAUAUUGAAACCUUGUCUCUUAAAAAAAAAAAAAAAAGAGGCCAGGUGUAGUGGCUCACGCCUGUAAUCCCAGCACAUUGGGAGGCCGAGGCAGUGGAUCACUUGACCCCAGGAGUUGGAGACCAGCCUGGGCAACAUGCAAACUUCCGUCUUCUAGGCCGGGCGCGGUGGCUCAACACCUGUAAUACCAGCACUUUGGUAGGCCGAGGCGGGCAGAUCACGAGGUCAGGAGAUCGAGACCAUCCUGGCUAAGGUGAAACCCAGUCUCUACUAAAAAUAAAAAAAAAAUUAGCCGGGUGUGGUGGCUGGCACCUGUAGUCCCGGCUACUUGGGAGGCUGAGGCAGGAGAAUGGCAUGAACCCAGGAGGUGGAGCUUGCAGUAAGCCGAGACCGCACCACUGCACUCCAGCCCAGGCAACAGAGCUAGACGCCCUCUCAAAUAAAAGUAAAUAAAUAAAUAAAAUUAUGUCAUUAAAAAAAAAUACAGGGCCGGGCGCGGUGGCUCAUGCUUGUAAUCCCAGCACUUUGGGAGGGUGAAGCGGGUGAAUCACGAGGUCAGGAGAUGGAGAGCAUCCUGGCUAACACAGUGAAACCCCGUCUCUACUAAAAAUACAAAAAAUUAGCCGGGCAAGGCAGCGUGUGUCUGUAGUCCCAGCUGCUGGGGAGGCUGAGGCAGGAGAAUGGCAUGAACCCAGGAGGCAGAGCUUGCAGUGAGCCAAGAUCCCGCCACUGCACUCCAGCCUGGGCGACAGAGCGAGACUCGGUCUCAAAAAAUAAUAAUUAACAAAAAAAAAUACAAAAGUUAGAUGCGCAUGUUGCCAUAUGCUCGUGGUCCCAGCUACUCGGCAAGCUGAGGUUGGGAGAUCACUUGAGCCCAGAAGGUGGAGGUUGCAGUGAGCUGAGAACCCACCAUUGUACUCCAGCCUGCGUGUCAGUGAGAUUCUGUCUCAAAAAAAAGAAAAGAAAAAAAAUCUAGGCUAUGCUCCCUAGUAUGGGAAAUCUAGUCUAGUCAUUUGGCAGAAUCAGGCUUUGCGGGCCAUAUUGUCUCUGUCGUAACUACCAACUCUGCUGGUUAAAAGGGAAGUAGCCACAAACAAUGUCUGAAUGAUGGAUUAUGGCUGUGUUCCAAUAAAACUUUAUUUGCAAAAACAGGUUGCUGGUUGCAAGGUAGUUUUCCAACCUCUACGUGAUUCUCAGACUUUAGGUUGCAUCAUAAUCACCUGGAGGGCUUGUUCAAACGCAGAUUGCUGGGCCCCACCCCCAGAAUUUUUUAUUCAGCCAGUCUGGGGUGGGGCUGAUAUUUGUAUGUCUAACAACUUUCCAGGUGAGGCUGGUUGAUGAUGGUCUGGAAACCACUUUGAAAACCUCUGAAGCUUUUCUCAACUCCCUUUGUGUACCUAAAACACUUUAUCCCUACUGUAGAUGUAGUAUUUAGCGUGUUAUAUUAGUUUAGUGAUUGGUGUGUGGGUCUCUGGGAGCCUUUCUGAAUCACCUCCCUAGCCUAGUGCCUGACAAUAGCAAUUUGCUCCCCAUUCAUUGACUGAACUGAAACCAGAGGGUCAUGGUCAUCAUCAUUGUUCCAAGCCAUAGAUAGAAGAUGAAGUCACCACCCCCGAUCUCAGAGCUCAUCAGAGUAGAGCUUGGGCUGGACUAUGCCCUUCUCUGCAGUGAGCAGUUUUCUCUGUGGAGCUCUGCAACCUGGAGCCAGCCCUGCCUGGGGGCCCCUAACAGUGUCAUAGGCCUGAUGGAGCAGCGGAACCUGCCUGAGGGUAAAGCUGAAGUUCCUCAGAAACCAGACGGCCUUACAGCCUCUUCACUGCUCUUUGAGAUGGAAGAGAAGAAAUGCAGAUGAGUGCUUUCUGCUACAAAUCUCAUCUCUCCAAGCUGAAGUUGCCAAGGAACAUGCCAUCACUGUAACUGCUAAAAACACAACGUAUAAUGAAAUGCAUCUUCUACAAAUGAAUCUGUGAAUACAGAAUAGCCUACAGAGGUUGACAGUUUGAUUCUGUUCUCUGCAAGGCAUUAGAAUUUCACUAUGGGGGCCACUAGGACUGCUCUAUUAAUUAAUUAUGUGUAUUCUAUUGUUUUUUGUUGGUUUUUUUUUUCAGAUGGAGUCUCACUUUGUCGCCCAGGCUGGAGUGCAGUGGCUCUAUCUCAGCUCACUGCAACCUCCCAGGUUCAGGCAAUUCUCCAGCUUCAGCAUCCCGAAUAGCUGAGACUGUAGGCGC
rnacentral:lncRNA from 1 species